AUUGAACGCUGGCGGCAGGCCUAACACAUGCAAGUCGAACGGUAACAGGAAGCAGCUUGCUGCUUUGCUGACGAGUGGCGGACGGGUGAGUUAUGUCUGGGAAACUGCCUGAUGGAGGGGGAUAACUACUGGAAACGGUAGCUAAUACCGCAUAACGUCGCAAGACCAAAGAGGGGGACCUUCGGGCCUCUUGCCAUCGGAUUUGCCCAGAUGGGAUUAGCUAGUAGGUGGGGUAACGGCUCACCUAGGCGACGAUCCCUAGCUGGUCUGAGAGGAUGACCAGCCACACUGGAACUGAGACACGGUCCAGACUCCUACGGGAGGCAGCAGUGGGGAAUAUUGCACAAUGGGCGCAAGCCUGAUGCAGCCAUGCCGCGUGUAUGAAGAAGGCCUUCGGGUUGUAAAGUACUUUCAGCGGGGAGGAAGGGAGUAAAGUUAAUACCUUUGCUAAUUGACGUUACCCGCAGAAGAAGCACCGGCUAACUACGUG
rnacentral:rRNA from 1 species